GUAAUGAGCAUUAUUACAUAUAGCACUGGCUCGCAUAAAAAUUUGUCGGCUAGUGCUCAUGUGACAAUCCCUUUUUCU
rnacentral:pre_miRNA from 1 species